AUGCAGCAACAACAACACAGAAACAGAGGCAUAGCAAGGAAGAAGAGGAACAAGAGCGUACCUGAAGAUAAUCCCUCAAACUCGAUUCCUCCGCCACGCCGAGUCUUCAAUCAGGUCUGUUUCACCUUUGUUCUUGUGCGUUCACGUACGCUUCGUCUUCUCCGAUUUAUGCUCCCUUUGUUUGAUCUAGGAUCCAUGAGUUUCUUUAGGUUGGUGAUUAUCCAUGGUGUCGCCGCUGCAACCAAUUUCGGCGAGAAAGAAUGA